rnacentral:rRNA from 1 species
ACGAUGAGUUUGAUCGUGGCUCAGGACGAACGCUGGCGGCGUGCCUAAUACAUGCAAGUCGAGCGCGGGAAGCAAGCUGAUCCUCUUCGGAGGUGACGCUUGUGGAACGAGCGGCGGACGGGUGAGUAACACGUGGGCAACCUGCCUGUAAGACUGGGAUAACCCCGGGAAACCGGGGCUAAUACCGGAUAAUACUUUUCAUCACCUGAUGAGAAGUUGAAAGGUGGCUUUUAGCUACCACUUACAGAUGGGCCCGCGGCGCAUUAGCUAGUUGGUGAGGUAACGGCUCACCAAGGCAACGAUGCGUAGCCGACCUGAGAGGGUGAUCGGCCACACUGGGACUGAGACACGGCCCAGACUCCUACGGGAGGCAGCAGUAGGGAAUCUUCCGCAAUGGACGAAAGUCUGACGGAGCAACGCCGCGUGAGUGAUGAAGGUUUUCGGAUCGUAAAGCUCUGUUGUUAGGGAAGAACAAGUGCCGUUCGAAUAGGGCGGCACCUGAC